GAUGGACGCUGGCGGCGUGCUUAACACAUGCAAGUCGAACGGUGAAGGCGGAGCUUGCUCUGCUGGAUCAGUGGCGAACGGGUGAGUAACACGUGAGCAAUCUGCCCCUGACUCUGGGAUAAGCGCUGGAAACGGCGUCUAAUACUGGAUACGAGCUGCAAAGGCAUCUUCCGCAGCUGGAAAGAACUUCGGUCAGGGAUGAGCUCGCGGCCUAUCAGCUUGUUGGUGAGGUAACGGCUCACCAAGGCGUCGACGGGUAGCCGGCCUGAGAGGGUGACCGGCCACACUGGGACUGAGACACGGCCCAGACUCCUACGGGAGGCAGCAGUGGGGAAUAUUGCACAAUGGGCGAAAGCCUGAUGCAGCAACGCCGCGUGAGGGACGACGGCCUUCGGGUUGUAAACCUCUUUUAGCAGGGAAGAAGCGAAAGUGACGGUACCUGCAGAAAAAGCGCCGGCUAACUACGUG
rnacentral:rRNA from 1 species